rnacentral:rRNA from 1 species
AACGAACGCUGGCGGCAUGUCUAACACAUGCAAGUCGAACGCGUGUAGCAAUACACGAGUGGCGGACGGGUGAGUAACGCGUGGGAACCUGCCCAAUGGUAGGGAAUAACUGCGGGAAACUGCAGCUAAUACCCUAUGCUCCCUACGGGGAAAAGAUUUAUCGCCAUUGGAGGGGCCCGCGUCGGAUUAGCUAGUUGGCGGGGUAAUGGCCCACCAAGGCUACGAUCCGUAGCUGGUCUGAGAGGAUGAUCAGCCACACUGGGACUGAGAUACGGCCCAGACUCCUACGGGAGGCAGCAGUGGGGAAUAUUGGACAAUGGGGGAAACCCUGAUCCAGCAAUGCCGCGUGAGUGAAGAAGGCCUUAGGGUUGUAAAGCUCUUUCGGCGGGGGCGAUGGUGACGGUACCCGCAGAAGAAGCCCCGGCUAACUUCGUGCCAGCAGCCGCGGUAAUAC